UUUCCGUAGGUGAACCUGCGGAAGGAUCGUUAACACGUAUCCACGUAUCAAACAACCGUUGAACUGUCCGCUGCCGAUUGGGGCAUUGGGGACGAGUGGCUAGGUGGCGAGAGACAGGAAAUUGUCUUCGUACUCGUCUCAUGCGGCGAAGCUCUUUUUAAGAGUUUCUGCCAUGUCUCUUCGGUAAGCGAUCGCCACGGAACCCUUUUUUUUACCCCUAUGAAUUCGUGUUCUAACAAUACUUCUUUUUUUUCCGUAUGGAAAAAGAGAAUCUUUUACGAAACUCAAAACAACUCUUAGCAACGGAUAUCUUGGUUCCC
rnacentral:misc_RNA from 1 species